rnacentral:lncRNA from 1 species
CCGAGCGGACCUGCGGCCACACGCUCCCUGCCCCACUCCAAGCUGCUGAAGGCUCGCGGCGCGCCGCGGAACGAGGUCCGUGCUGUGGUACGGAGAGUGCAGGUUACCCGAGAGCCAUGUAGAGCCAGGCUUUGAGCCGCCCGCCUCCCUCGGGAUCGAAUCAAGGGCUCCCGUAGUGUUCGGAGGGGGCGAGAGUGAAGCUUAUCGCCAUUUGCUUGGGUGACUCGGGAGAAGGUGGCCUUUUUGUUUUUCCACCCCGCAUCCUCCGGGACUUUCUGCCCCAGACAGAGGACAGCAUCUCCUGUUUGCUUGCACCGUGCGAGAAUGGGGGUAGGGUACGGACGUUUCCUCCGUAGCUGCUCGAUAAAACGAUCGGACUCCUGAGAGGAGAAGGACGCGAACCGCCAGGGGCCGGAGCCUCUCGCGUGCUGCUGCGGUGGUGGCGGCUGCUCGCUCCGGCUGCUGCAAAGGCGACCUGCCGCAUUCAGACUCUCCGCCGUCUCAGUACCGCCUCUGCGCCAAGCCGGUCCGCCAG